UUUAAGGUCUAAUCUGCCCUAUGAGGGAUUAAAUGGCCGCGGUAUUUUGACCGUGCAAAGGUAGCAUAAUAAUUAGUUUUUUAAUUGAAAGCUGGAAUGAAUGAUUGGACGAGGGAGUUACUGUCUCAGUUUAAUUUUAUUAGAAAUUUAUUUUUAAGUAAAAAAGCUUAAAUGUUUUUAAAAGACGAGAAGACCCUAUAGAGUUUAAUAUAUUAAAUUAUUUUAUUUUUUUAGAAUUUUUAUACUAAAAUUGUUUAAUAUAUUUUGUUGGGGUGAUAGAAAAAUUUAAUUAACUUUUUUUAUAUAUAUACAUUGAUUUAUGGUUAAAUGAUCCAUUAUUUAUGAUUAUAAGAUUAAAUUACCUUAGGGAUAACAGCGUAAUUUUUUUUAAGAGUUCAAAUCGAAAAGAAAGGUUGCGACCUCGAUGUUGGAUUAAAAUGAAUGUUUGGUGCAGGAGCUAAAUGAUUAGGUCUGUUCGACCUUUAAAAUUUUACA
rnacentral:rRNA from 1 species